ensembl:lncRNA
GGGAAGCCACGCCCUUCUCUGCCGGCGUGACGUCAUCGCGCACGCACGCACGCACGCACGGGGGGCGUGGCCUCGUGACACAGCAGCGCCACUACGGAGGCCGGGAGGGGUCAAAAAGGACGCGGGGCCCACGAGGCCCUAUAGGGCCCUAUGGGGGCGGAGGGGGAGGGGGUCCUGAAGGCGGCUUUUAGGGCUUUAUAGGGCCCUAUGGGGCCUUAGAGCUGCCCUAUAGGGGCCGAAGGACCCCAUAAAGUUGAGCAAGAGGGGCCAUAUGGGGGUCUGUAGGUGCCCUAUAGGGGCUUAUAGGGUGCCCCAUAGGGGCCCUAUUGGUAUCUACAGCGAUCCUAAAGCUAUGGGGUCUUGCAGAUGCCAUAUAGGGACCCCAAAGAGGCUGAUAGAGGGCUAUAGGAACCUGAAACGACCCUAUAGGUGUCUAUGGGUACCUUAAAGCAGCCUCUGGGGCCUAUGGGGUGGGAUUCGGGGUCUCUGUGGGGUCUAUGGGGUGGGAUUUGAGGUCUAUAUGGGGUCUAUGGGGUGGGAUUUGAGGUCUAUAUGGGGUCUAUGGGGUGGGAUUUGAGGUCUAUAUGGGAUCCUGGGGUCUAUGGGGUGGGAUUUGAGGUCUAUAUGGGGUGUAUGGGGUGGGAUUUGGGGUCUAUAUGGGGUCUAUGGGGUGGGAUUUGAGGUCUAUAUGGGAUCCUGGGGUCUAUGGGGUGGGAUUCGGGGUCUAAAUGGGGUUUAUGGGGUGGGAUUUGGGGUCUAUAUGGGGUCUAUGGGGUGGGAUUUGAGGUCUAUAUGGGAUCCUGGGGUCUAUGGGGUGGGAUUGGGGGUCUAUAUGGGAUCCUGGAGUCUAUGGGGUGGGCUUUAGGGUCUAUACGGGGUCUAUGGGGUGGGAUUUGGGGUCUAUACGGGGUCUA